AUUUUAAAAACUGUACCUAAUUGCAUUCCAUUUAUUUCAGCCAAUUUUCCACCUAUAAGCGCGCAGGUUCAGAGGUGAAGAAAAAAUAUUAUAACAUGAAAGACAAAACAAAGACAAAAAAUGAUGAGAUGAGGAGGCCAGGCACUGGAGGAGGGCCCCGGGUGAAAGAGUUCACCAUUCCGGAGGGGAUUCUCCUUCAGCAUUUUGGGGAUUCCGCCUCUGUGGCAGGGGUCCCCAAUGCAAUUGACACUGAUGCUCCAGAGGGUGCUUCAAUCAACAUAAUUGAACUGGGCAAGAUGCUAAUAG